GUAAACAGUCUGGUCUAGUUUGGUGCUAGUAGAGCUAGAUUUAUGACUCGGCUCACGACUAAUAGUAGUACAACGAUUCUGUUAUUACCUCCUUCCUAGACCGAAGGAGGAUUACUCCAAAAGUCUGUGAUGGAUUUUUUGGAGGGGUGGGGUGUGGCACAAUGAACAAUCCAUUAGAUUUUGGUGGAGAUCAGGAUCAUGAUCCGGAUUCAGGACUAUUUUUAAGGAUUCCAAUCAACCAGAACAUUAAGACCACAAGGUAUAAGACAUGCUCAGUGGAGCUGAUAACGCGUUGAUGACGCAUGACCCCGCCUUCUUCCUUCAGAGAGAGAGCGGGUGGAGGGAGGGGCGACGACUGUAGAUUCAGCGUUUUUUCUCAUUAAACUUGGUGAAAAUACAGUUACGUUCUUUUUUGGAAAGAGUAACGACGACGGUUUAGGUGAGUUUUAUUUAGUUUCUGUCCAGUUUGAAUGAAGUGUUUUACGCUGCUCCGCUACGUACAGCUGAUCUGAACAUGAACAAAAAUACACGUGGAUGAAGCAAGCUGCACGGAGAAGGGGGGGGAUUCAUACUCGGAAUUGGCGGAG